rnacentral:rRNA from 1 species
AACGGCCAUACCAUGCUGAAUAUACCGGUUCUCGUUAGAUCACCGAUGUCUUAAGCAUCAUUGGGCGUGGUCAGUACUUGGGUGGAUGACCACCUGGGAACACCGCGUGCCGUU